UACAGAGGGGGCAAGCGUUGUUCGGAAUUACUGGGCGUAAAGGGCGCGUAGGCGGCCCGCUAAGUCGAACGUGAAAUCCCCGAGCUCAACUCGGGAACUGCGUCCGAUACUGGCGGGCUUGAAUCCGGGAGAGGGAUGCGGAAUUCCAGGUGUAGCGGUGAAAUGCGUAGAUAUCUGGAGGAACACCGGUGGCGAAGGCGGCAUCCUGGACCAACACUGACGCUGAGGCGCGAAAGCUAGGGGAGCAAACGGG
rnacentral:rRNA from 1 species